UAAAAGGAAGACAUAGGUAUACUUUGUAAACAUGGUACUAUAUCAUACAUUAUAAUUCUUUCAAGAAAAUUGAGAAAGAAUCAAAAAAAUUAUUAAAAAUGAUGAAAAGUUUAAAUACUUAUUGACUGAUAGAGUUUUGAACGAUUUCGUUAUUUUCAAGUCGAGAAAGUUGAAAGAUAAUCUAGAGAAAGAAAACUCUU
rnacentral:lncRNA from 1 species